UCCUGACUGACCGAUAGUGAACCAGUACCGUGAGGGAAAGGCGAAAAGAACCCCGGCGAGGGGAGUGAAAAAGAACCUGAAACCGUGUACGUACAAGCAGUGGGAGCACGCUUAGGCGUGUGACUGCGUACCUUUUGUAUAAUGGGUCAGCGACUUAUAUUCUGUAGCAAGGUUAACCGAAUAGGGGAGCCGAAGGGAAACCGAGUCUUAACUGGGCGUUAAGUUGCAGGGUAUAGACCCGAAACCCGGUGAUCUAGCCAUGGGCAGGUUGAAGGUUGGGUAACACUAACUGGAGGACCGAACCGACUAAUGUUGAAAAAUUAGCGGAUGACUUGUGGCUGGGGGUGAAAGGCCAAUCAAACCGGGAGAUAGCUGGUUCUCCCCGAAAGCUAUUUAGGUAGCGCCUCGUGAAUUCAUCUCCGGGGGUAGAGCACUGUUUCGGCAAGGGGGUCAUCCCGACUUACCAACCCGAUGCAAACUGCGAAUACCGGAGAAUGUUAUCACGGGAGACACACGGCGGGUGCUAACGUCCGUCGUGAAGAGGGAAACAACCCAGACCGCCAGCUAAGGUCCCAAAGUCAUGGUUAAGUGGGAAACGAUGUGGGAAGGCCCAGACAGCCAGGAUGUUGGCUUAGAAGCAGCCAUCAUUUAAAGAAAGCGUAAUAGCUCACUGGUCGAGUCGGCCUGCGCGGAAGAUGUAACGGGGCUAAACCAUGCACCGAAGCUGCGGCAGCGACGCUUAUGCGUUGUUGGGUAGGGGAGCGUUCUGUAAGCCUGCGAAGGUGUGCUGUGAGGCAUGCUGGAGGUAUCAGAAGUGCGAAUGCUGACAUAAGUAACGAUAAAGCGGGUGAAAAGCCCGCUCGCCGGAAGACCAAGGGUUCCUGUCCAACGUUAAUCGGGGCAGGGUGAGUCGACCCCUAAGGCGAGGCCGAAAGGCGUAGUCGAUGGGAAACAGGUUAAUAUUCCUGUACUUGGUAUUACUGCGAAGGGGGGACGGAGAAGGCUAUGUUGGCCGGGCGACGGUUGUCCCGGUUUAAGCGUGUAGGCUGGUUUUCCAGGCAAAUCCGGAAAAUCAAGGCUGAGGCGUGAUGACGAGGCACUACGGUGCUGAAGCAACAAAUGCCCUGCUUCCAGGAAAAGCCUCUAAGCAUCAGGUAACAUCAAAUCGUACCCCAAACCGACACAGGUGGUCAGGUAGAGAAUACCAAGGCGCUUGAGAGAACUCGGGUGAAGGAACUAGGCAAAAUGGUGCCGUAACUUCGGGAGAAGGCACGCUGAUAUGUAGGUGAAGUCCCUUGCGGAUGGAGCUGAAAUCAGUCGAAGAUACCAGCUGGCUGCAACUGUUUAUUAAAAACACAGCACUGUGCAAACACGAAAGUGGACGUAUACGGUGUGACGCCUGCCCGGUGCCGGAAGGUUAAUUGAUGGGGUCAGCGCAAGCGAAGCUCUUGAUCGAAGCCCCGGUAAACGGCGGCCGUAACUAUAACGGUCCUAAGGUAGCGAAAUUCCUUGUCGGGUAAGUUCCGACCUGCACGAAUGGCGUAAUGAUGGCCAGGCUGUCUCCACCCGAGACUCAGUGAAAUUGAACUCGCUGUGAAGAUGCAGUGUACCCGCGGCAAGACGGAAAGACCCCGUGAACCUUUACUAUAGCUUGACACUGAACAUUGAGCCUUGAUGUGUAGGAUAGGUGGGAGGCUUUGAAGUGUGGACGCCAGUCUGCAUGGAGCCGGCCUUGAAAUACCACCCUUUAAUGUUUGAUGUUCUAACGUGGACCCGUGAUCCGGGUUGCGGACAGUGUCUGGUGGGUAGUUUGACUGGGGCGGUCUCCUCCUAAAGAGUAACGGAGGAGCACGAAGGUUGGCUAAUCCUGGUCGGACAUCAGGAGGUUAGUGCAAUGGCAUAAGCCAGCUUGACUGCGAGCGUGACGGCGCGAGCAGGUGCGAAAGCAGGUCAUAGUGAUCCGGUGGUUCUGAAUGGAAGGGCCAUCGCUCAACGGAUAAAAGGUACUCCGGGGAUAACAGGCUGAUACCGCCCAAGAGUUCAUAUCGACGGCGGUGUUUGGCACCUCGAUGUCGGCUCAUCACAUCCUGGGGCUGAAGUAGGUCCCAAGGGUAUGGCUGUUCGCCAUUUAAAGUGGUACGCGAGCUGGGUUUAGAACGUCGUGAGACAGUUC
rnacentral:rRNA from 1 species